UACGAAGGGUGCUAGCGUUGUUCGGAUUUACUGGGCGUAAAGCGCACGUAGGCGGUUAUAUAAGUUAGCGGUGAAAUCCCGGGGCUCAACCUCGGAAUAGCCAUUAAUACUGUAUAGCUUGAGUGUAUGAGAGGAUGAUGGAAUAUCCAGUGUAGAGGUGAAAUUCGUAGAUAUUGGGUAGAACACCGGUGGCGAAGGCGACUAUCUGGCCAUUUACUGACGCUGAGGCUCGAAAGCGUGGGGAGCAAACAGG
rnacentral:rRNA from 1 species